rnacentral:rRNA from 1 species
UGGAGAAUCUUGCACAAUGGGCGAAAGCCUGAUGCAGCAACGCCGCGUGAAGGAUGAAGGCCCUUGGGUCGUAAACUUCUGUUCUAAGGGAAGAUAGUGACGGUACCUUAGGAGCAAGUCCCGGCUAACUACGUGCCAGCAGCCGCGGUAAUACGUAGGGGGCGAGCGUUGUCCGGAAUUAUUGGGCGUAAAGAGUACGUAGGUGGUUUCCUAAGCGAGGGGUUUAAGGCAAUGGCUUAACCAUUGUUCGCCCCCCGAACUAGGUUACUUGAGUGCUGGAGGGGAAAGCGGAAUUCCUAGUGUAGCGGUGAAAUGCGUAGAUAUUAGGAGGAACACCAGUGGCGAAGGCGGCUUUCUGGACAGUAACUGACACUGAGGUACGAAAGUGUGGGGAGCAAACAG